AUUGAACGCUGGCGGCAGGCUUAACACAUGCAAGUCGAACGAGUGGCGGACGGGUGAGUAAUGCUUGGGAAUCUAGCUUAUGGAGGGGGAUAACUACGGGAAACUGUAGCUAAUACCGCGUACCAUAGGAUGAGCCCAAGUGGGAUUAGGUAGUUGGUGAGGUAAAGGCUCACCAAGACGGCGAUCUCUAGCUGGUCUGAGAGGAUGACCGGGCACACGUGGACUGAGACCCGGCCCAGACUCCUCCGGGAGGCAGGCGUGGGGAAUAUUGCGCAAUGGGGGCAACCUUACCCAGCCCUGCCGCGUGAAUGAAGAAGGCCUUCGGGUUUUAAAGUUCUUUCGCUAGCGAGGCGUUAACUACAGAAGAAGCACCGGCUAACUCCGUGCCAGCAGCCGCGGUAAUAC
rnacentral:rRNA from 1 species